AACAGGUAAAUGAUAAUAAUAAUAAUUUAAUUGAUAACAAUUAAUACAUAUUUAAAUUAACUUUUAUAAUACUACUACAAAUAAUACUGAAAAUUGUAUGAGCAUAGUGGUAAAAUGCAAUUAAGGUAAGACAUUUUUUUUUUUUUUUUUAAUUAUUAUUAUUAUUAUUGUUAUUACUUCAUAUAGUACAAUAAUGUAAAAUAAUAAUGCUCAAAUAUCCAUCAAUUUAAAAUCUCCAAUAUUUGAAAUACUAUUACGGGAUAAUUUAUAGUAUGUAUAGGUACGUGUUUAUUCACAUUAUUUUACUUCAUUCAACCAAAAAAAACUUCACGCUCAAAUCAAAUUCCUAAUAAAAUAAAUAUAAAAAGAACUCAUGAAAAAAGUUUACAAUAAGCAUUACCUCUAAAAAUAAGUUAUCUAAUAUAUAAAAACAAAAUCUAUUUAUUAAAAUGUAUAACAGAUAUCAAGAAAUACACAUAACGGAUGCUCCGGAAACAACUUUAAUUCUUGAAAAGGUUACAGAAAAAAUUGGUAGGUUGUUAUGAAAAAAAAAAAAAAACGAAAUUCUAUACACUAAUAUUAUAAAAAAAAAACUAUUAAUGGUUAUUUCUGGGUAACCGAAUCGUAGGUAUAAAAUAUAAGAUAUAAGUACUGGUACUGCAAGUAAAAAAUUAAUUCAUUAAUUUGGUUCAAUAAUUAGGACAAUCAUUUUUUUAUGGGACCGCUUAGCAUGACCGUUUAAUUGUGAGCCCCCCAUCACGUCAAGGUGGGUCCCGUUUGGGAGUACCAAACGUACCUGCCCUAACCCUUCAGCGAUAUUGUGGAAGAUGAAAUCAACAAAAUCCAACUGUUAAAUUUUAACAUAACGACGUUUUGUUAUCUAUGGAAAUUAUUAUAUUGAACAAAAAUAUAGAUUCAUGAUUUUAAGAAAGAAAAAUGAUCAAUGGAACAUUUCUUG